CCUACGGGAGGCAGCAGUGGGGAAUUUUGGACAAUGGGCGCAAGCCUGAUCCAGCCAUGCCGCGUGUGGGAAGAAGGCCUUCGGGUUGUAAACCACUUUUGUCAGGGAAGAAACGGUCUGAACUAAUACUUUGGACUAAUGACGGUACCUGAAGAAUAAGCACCGGCUAACUACGUGCCAGCAGCCGCGGUAAUACGUAGGGUGCAAGCGUUAAUCGGAAUUACUGGGCGUAAAGCGUGCGCAGGCGGCUUUGCAAGACAGAUGUGAAAUCCCCGGGCUCAACCUGGGAACUGCAUUUGUGACUGCAUGGCUAGAGUACGGUAGAGGGGGAUGGAAUUCCGCGUGUAGCAGUGAAAUGCGUAGAUAUGCGGAGGAACACCGAUGGCGAAGGCAAUCCCCUGGACCUGUACUGACGCUCAUGCACGAAAGCGUGGGGAGCAAACAGGAUUAGAUACCCUGGUAGUCCACGCCCUAAACGAUGUCAACUGGUUGUUGGGAGGGUUUCUUCUCAGUAACGAAGCUAACGCGUGAAGUUGACCGCCUGGGGAGUACGGCCGCAAGGUUGAAACUCAAAUGAAUUGAGG
rnacentral:rRNA from 1 species